CAGCAGCCGCGGGAAUACGUAGGUGGCAAGCGUUAUCCGGAAUUAUUGGGCGUAAAGCGCGCGUAGGCGGUUUUUUAAGUCUGAUGUGAAAGCCCACGGCUCAACCGUGGAGGGUCAUUGGAAGCUGGAAAACUUGAGUGCAGAAGAGGAAAGUGGAAUUCCAUGUGUAGCGGUGAAAUGCGCAGAGAUAUGGAGGAACACCAGUGGCGAAGGCGACUUUCUGGUCUGUAACUGACGCUGAGGAGCGAAAGCGUGGGGAGCGAACAGGAUUAGAUACCCCUGUAGUCCCUGUCUCUUAUAC
rnacentral:rRNA from 1 species